UACGUAGGUGGCGAGCGUUGUCCGGAUUUACUGGGUGUAAAGGGCGUGUAGGCGGGAUAACAAGUCAGAUGUGAAAUUCCGUGGCUUAACUGCGGGGCUGCAUCUGAAACUGUUUUUCUUGAGUGUCGGAGAGGAAAGUGGAAUUCCCAGUGUAGCGGUGAAAUGCGUAGAGAUUGGGAGGAACACCAGUGGCGAAGGCGGCUUUCUGGACGAUAACUGACGCUGAGGCGCGAAAGCGUGGGGAG
rnacentral:rRNA from 1 species